rnacentral:rRNA from 1 species
CGCGUAGGCGGGGGACCAAGUCCGGGGUGAAAUCUUUCGGCUCAACCGGAAAACUGCCUUGGAUACUGGUCUUCUUGAGGGAGGUAGGGGCAGGUGGAACUUCCGGUGGAGCGGUGAAAUGCGUUGAUAUCGGAAGGAACGCCGGUGGCGAAAGCGACCUGCUGGAUCUCUUCUGACGCUGAUGCGCGAAAGCUAGGGGGAGAGGAACG